rnacentral:lncRNA from 1 species
GCCUAAGCCAAGCAUGGAAGUUUGUUGAUUGAUUUAGGUGGGGUGGCAACAUUGGGAUUCUCUCCCUAGAGUCCUAGCCAUCAGGGACUCUUUUGGAUGAUUUAUUUUCAAAAAAACUUAAGGCACCUUCUUAGGGUUUUGUGCCUAUAAAUAUGUGGCCAAACCCUAAGGGUUUAUGAGUUCUCACACCCCUUAAGAUUCCCUUUGCUCCUAGGUUGCCACCUCCUCUUCCUCUUCCUC